rnacentral:lncRNA from 1 species
GCGGCCCUAAGGUGCUGGCGGGCGUUUGGCGUUGCAGCUGUGUGGGCGCUGGUGCGUGCGAGUAGCGCUCGAAGAAACCCAAAGGCGUCGUGGGGCUGCCGUGUGCCCCAGAGAGCACUGCAGGCCGGGUAGGGGCUAAGGCUCCCCGCAGUCUUCUGUGUGUCGUCCAGUACGCAGUUGAAAUCGUUCUCCAACCUGGCCAGUCCUCCGAGGCCCUUCUCAGGCGACCAGACUCUGUUAACAGAGUCCAUUGCUAAAACUCCUCGUUAGUAUUUACCACUCCUCCAGUCUGUGUUUUGAAGCAGUGGUUUUCAACCACUGCCCGUUUUCAGAAGAAAUCAUCUCAAGCGUCCGUGUGCUGCUAGAAGCCGGGCCGGGAGGUCUUGGUGCCGGACUCCACCCUGCAGCCCUUCCCUUUCGCCACCGCCCUGUGCUUAGAGAAACCUUAGAGUGGAGCAAUGAGUCGCCCUUGACUGAGUAACUCUUCGGGGUCAACUUCUCCUUCCACGCCAAGGAAAGGAUUCCAGGGCGAUGUUUCUGGAAAUAGAGAUCUGACCAAGCCACUGCUCUGAGCAAUGCAAACCUGAAACUACUCCUGCCAAGAAACGAUUGCAGCUCUUCCCGGAAAAGUUAAAGCCUUUGAGAAACAAAGCUGAGGUUGAAAGUAUUAGUCCAUUUUAUAGAUGAAGAAAUGGAGGCCCAGAGAGAUCACGUGACUUAGCCAAGUCCACCAACUAAUAUUGGGAAGCUCAGCAGGGUCCUGGGGGCCCACAGGAAUGUGAAUAAACACGCUUGGAAAGUCUGCAGAAUUUCCAGUCCUAGCCUCCUGCUGGUGUGAACCUGGGCUCCUGUGCCUGGGACCCUGGGAGAUUUGGGAUUAAGCCUUAUUUUGCAUUGGGUUUAAUCUCAACAGACACCGAGGGGCACCUGGAGUCCCUGCAAAACCUUGUCUGGUAUCAGCUACCUAUCAGAGGAUGCAGAGGACAAGGGCCUAGGGGAUGCCAAAUUCCAGGGUCCAGAAAGAGCUUGGGAUAAAAUGAACAUCCAAGGGGAGGGCUUUGACCUGGGCUGAGUCUGCCUGUGCCGAGUCUGCCUGUGCCAUCCAACUGGAGUCUCAAGUCCUGAGGCAGGACGUCCAGAUGCCCCAGUGCAGGGUCCUCCUGAUCAACACCUGCUCCCCUGUACUCAUUAGCAACCUCACCCACCCUACUCUCAAAGCACACUUGGCUCUCAUAUCCAGGAGCUCUGCAUCUGUAGAUUCAGCAACAGCAGAUGGAAAAUAUUCAGAAAAUAAAUUGGACAGUUAUAUUUCUAUUGAA